UAUCCACGUGUCCCAUUACAAUAGCUCCUUAUCUAUAAAAUUAGAUGCAGGCAGCAAUAAAAUCUUUAUUGGUAUGCCAAUAAUUCCUUUAAGAGCUGCGUUUUUUAUACUCACAUAUACACGUGGGAAAAUAUAAUUAUGGUUUUUGCAAUAAUGGUUGACUCCUCCACAGCAGACCCUACUGCACCAUGGGAAGGUCACACAUAAUUCCAACAGGGCCUGCGGUAAGAAAAUAUGCAAUAAUAAAUUUUAAUAAUUAAGUCUUUUACGACUUUUUAUUAAUUAAUUUGAGCUCUUUAAGCCUUCAGGGUAAACUUUUGCACUAGUUUUAGUUCUCAAAUAAAAGUUUAACGUUCGAAAUUGCUAAAAAUGGAGUGGCUAUGACGUAAGCAAGAGUGCAUGACGCCAUUUUGUUUACAAGAUUCUGCAGGCCUCUAGAAGUUGUAACCUUCCCAUGAGGCAUGGGGGCCUGUGCAGGAGGCUGCGGUAAU